UGGUUUCCCAAGCCGUCUCUCUCUCCUCUUUUGGUGAAGGGCAAAGCCAUAUCGAAUUUUAGUCUUAAACACCAAUUUUCUUUUUUCUUUUUUCUUUUUUUUUGAUUUUUAAUCUCAUUGUGAACUUGUAGUUGUGUAUGCAUGGAUCUUGAGUAGUGAAUGAUAGUCAUUGGAUUUUAAGACAUAGAUCAUUGUAGUAGAUAGCUCCCUUCACCUCCCAAAUAUCCCAAAGGUUCAAGAGCCUUGGAUCUCCUUCAAUCAAUCAUUCAAUUUUUUGAAUUUUGAUGUGAUUUUUGGUUGUAGCCUUUGGUGUUAGCUUUCCAAUAUGGUAAAAAUUGCUUAAUUUAGAGUAAGGGCAAAAUUUAGGUAGAAUUUUGAGUGCACAGAGGUCGAUUGUCUUAAUAGUUUAGAUCACCUAUCUUUGAAAAGACAUU
rnacentral:lncRNA from 1 species